UUCGCAUUCCAAUGUGCACGUGUGCAUAAACUAUGUGUACUCUUGCGCGCGCGUACACGAGUAAGUAAAAGAGCGGAAUGCACGCUGGCUAUUGGCAUCGUGCGUAUUGCGUAAACAGUGGGUCUUAAUAGACGCCUGUGCACGAGCAUCUUGCUAUGAUAAAACGGGCAUGCAUUCGCAUUGCGUCAUGUGAAAAGUAACAACUGCUGGACGGCCUUGGGUACAGCACAUUGUGAUAAUGCACUUAUUGAAAAUAAAGGAGCUAGAUAUACAAGCUUUGACAGUUGAGGAAUAUUUCUCCUGAAAGCUAACGAGGAAAUCGAGUGACAUAUGCGUCACUUUCCUGGUAAGAUAAAUAUGGAAGAAUGUUUAAUCUACGUGGCGUUAUUUUUACAGAUUGAAGUAUCCGCAGGCUUAUUGAAGUGCAGAGCGCAACGAUAAUAUCGACAAAAGUGUCAUGGAUACUAAUAACCUAACCUAGACAAACUUGUCUAGCUAUCUAACAUCGAAAAUCGAUCUCGUUGUAUCAGGUUGAUCUUGUAGAAUGAAGUUGUAUCGGUGUUUCAACAUCGACUUAUGACUUCAUUGAUUCCUCCGAUACGUUCGACGGAACGUUAUGAACGACGAUCCCGAAGAAACGCUCGUGGGCCAACAAACAGCUCGACUACGUUAUUAUACUUAAUCGCGGUGUGCGCCCGAAGCGCGACGUUCUCGCGAUUGCUGGAAUGCCGUCCGAUCACUUGUACCGGGUCUAUCAAGGCCGUUGGGAAAUGAAAAUCGUUUCUUUCUGGUCGACUUAUGGAAUCCAAAACAUGUGGGACAUUAAGAAUUUACGUGGACAGGAGAAAAGGCAUCGAUGGUAGGUAAAGACGGGUCGGUAUAAAAAUAGAGUGCAUCCUGAAGAUGCAACCUGGUUCCACUACGAUAUAACAGUUAACGAUAAAAUCAAAUUGUACAAACGUGCACUAAAUCGUACUUGUCGGUGAAUUGGGUCGUUCACUUAUAGAUCGGUCGGUAAUUUACCUACGUUCCAUAACUGCAUAAGCAGUUAUUAAAUAUUUGAUUAAAUAUUGGAAAAUUCGCUACUAUGCUAUUGAAUUCCGGAUUGUAGAGAACGAGUACAACAUGUUAUAAUCGUUUGAAAACUUUUUUCAAUAAAAUACGAUAAAGUCGCAUCUUCGUACCUUGAGAGUUUCGGACAAAAAUAAUCAUAUUCUACUGUUUUCGCAGAUAUAUAGAGGGUGAUCCGUAAUUCAUGGACAGAGAGAUUCUACGACUUAAAAUAAGAGGAAAAUCAAGAAUAACACAAUUACGCUGGUUUUGUUUCUGAGAAAAUCGAUGACUUCAUUUGUACCAUGAAUACAAUACCUGAAGCAGAGUGACUAUCCUGUAUAUGGUUGAAAAAUAGUUGGGACAAUGGUGUGAAAAAUAUCGUAAGUGGGAGGAACCAGGACAAAGGUACAGACUUUGAGUGAUUAAAUUUAUGGUUUUGAUAAUUCGUCGUAGUGAAUUACCGUUUAUAUAAAUAUAGAAAUGAAUGUCGCUGUUGAUGGCAUGCUGAUGAUAUCAUUGCAGAUUGUCUCAACAAGCUGGCAAUACUUUUUAGUACUUAUACUUUAUACUGUUUACAGCAUACUACUCCAACAAUACUCUUUGGUAUUUUUCUUAUUAAUACUUACUAUAAUUAUUUCCAUAUUUCCCAUUCCAUUUCAUUUCAAAGGAAGUUACCAAAUGAGAAUUUCGAUAUAAAGGAUAAAAUAUCACGACUGUCUUUGCUAAUGCGAAGGUCUUUAAAGGAGGGAUUAAGUAAAAGAGCUAAAUGGUACCAGAAGACGAUUUACCUUCAUGACCACUCUCAUUUACAUACGGAAGUUAUCUAUUUCUCUAAGCGCGAGCACCGAACCAUUACGUUCCAUUUAAUUAACAAUGUGGCAGACAAGCUUCCACCUCGAAGCGCCUCGUAGAUCGAUGUUAACCACACGUUAGAAUCAAUCAUCGCGCGUUCACCGGUGAAACGAUUAGCUUACGAUGAGUAAACAAAUGUUUGAACGAUGCGCAUUACACGGCAGAGCAAAUACGCUGCUUCCUGUCGCGUAAUUUGUAGUCGUGACGCUCGCUUCGUAUAUGUAACGAUCGACGCGAUCACUCGAUAAUAACAGAUUCAAGAAUAUUUGCAUAAUACCUACCAGUAUACACAGUAUACGUUAACCACUUCGUUGUACCUUCUAUCAAUUUUGCCAUCUAAUAUAUUAUGAGAACGUCGUCGCUGCAAACUGGUGCGAAUGUUCUACAGGAUAGAUCAGUUUGAUAGAAGAGUAACUAUUGUAGAUAAUGUACCAUUAUCAGUCAUGGUAACGAUCUCGUCACGUGAAGCGCACAACGUAACAACAACACAACAAUUUUGUAAUCUUGUUUAUUUUCUUUUAGAUCUACGAUCAAAACUUGCAUGAUACUUAUCACAGAUUUGUGGUAAGCUGAAGAAGAGGAAGGCUAAAUCUAGAGGUUUGAGUUCUCAAGAAAUCAAGAUAGCUGCGAUUCACUCUUUUAAAAGUAACUAACUUAGAAGUUAUUAAUAAUUCAUUUUCAAAUAACGCUCUGCUUUCAGGCUUUUUACAUUUUUCUACGUUAAACAUGGCCAACUCCAGCCACCGUUUCACGUCACGACGUUAGGAUACAGUUACCCUUGCUCGCGAUACAGAUCAUUUCACUUAACGCAUUUCAACCACUCCUCGAGCGUGCCGCGAUGGGAUCUGAAACACUUCAAAUCGUAUCGCGUCUGUAUAUUCAAAUCACUUCAAACAUGAUUCGAGGCUUGAAACUCUUGAUCGCGUAGAAGGUCUUUAAAAUCUUUAAAAUCUUGGCAAUCUUAGAAGUCUUGAUCAUCAUGGAAAUCUGAAUCGUCUAGGAAAUGUUGAAAAUUGUGAUCAUUUUAAAAGCCUUGAUCAUAUUAGAAGUCUCGAUCAUCUUGUGAAAUAAAUGUAUGUAUGAUAAUUUGAUCUUUCCAGGCGUUUUAUAAACACUUGUUGCCGCCUGCAAAACUGAAUCUAACAGUUUCAAAACGAUCAAGACUUUCGAGACUUUAAAGACUCAAAGUUAUCAAGAUUUACAAAAGAACUUUAAACUUCGAAUCAUGUUCGAAGCGAUCCGAAUUUGUCGCCUCAUACACAAUACAAAUUCGAAGCGAUUCGAAGUGUUUCCAAAUCCCAUAACUAGCCGCAAUUCGUGCCUGAUAACUAGGCGAACAGGACAACAAAUUGAAGGAGCCAACAUCCAAACGCACAGCAUGAUUUUUCGACGACUAUUAUCUUCGUGGCUGUAUUUCGCUACAAUUUCAUCGACACGUCCGUUAACCCAGGUCAGCUUUCUGUAUAAGAAGAAAAUAGAGUUACCAGUCAUUAAGGAGAAUGUACCACAUACCUGCCUCACCAAGUAGCUACAUAUUCUGAGAUAACACAAGCAAUUUGUAUCACACUGAAGCUAAGAAUUUUUAAUGCCAUCUUGUAACCAAAUGACGAAGAACAUACACAUUACCUACUUCGAUAGUCUAUAGAAUUAUUUAAUUUAAUCCGAACAGAUGCAUUUAUUAAUCUAUACACAGCAUAAAAUAGAGUUCCCGGUAAGUGCCUGUAUGUUCAGGGCUAAUUUCGAGGACGAUUUGAAAAAUUUCGAUGCGGUGUUCUCGAGGAAGAUUUAGAUGUAUGAAACGUUAACCUACGACAAAAGGGAGCACGCAUAGAACAUUAAGAAUAUGAACCAGAGACAGUACACGAAUAUUCGCAACAAAACAGCGAUCUUCUUCAAUGCGAGCAUGUUUAGAAUCAUGUUUAGAAUCGCUGCCACAAUAUAGCGAGACGAUAUGAUCCCCCCUUCGAGCAAUGUCUUUCUCUUCUUAGUGCACGGCAUGUCAGAAGCUUCACGACUUCGUUGUGUGACAACGGGUGUUGUUUCACGGACUGCGGAACACUUACCGAGCCAAUAAAGACUCACGAGAUUGUCAGCCAUAUUAUUAAAAAAGAUUAUAUACGCAUAAUACAUAUUAUAGUAUAUCAUAAUUAGAAAUAUUCAACUUGCAAAUAGGAGAACAUUUAUUACAAUUCGUAUGAAACUCGAUUCUAUUCGCACUGAAAUUUUUUCAUCGACGUAUACAGCUAACACAACGUCAUUUAAAAGGACAUAAACGCCUCCACGGAGUGCGUUUAACCCAAGUCAAUAAAUUCAUGCUUAAGAUCGAUAUCGUGUGCAUUUAACAUCUCCCAUAAACUAUCUUACACGGUGAACUAGUUCCGUUGGCCAGGUAACGAGCAUUGAUCGAUUAAUUUCAUCAGCAUUGCUUCGCAGCAACUUUACGCAUCAUUUUCUUGUUAGACAGGUUGCCUCGGAUAUACGUAAAGUCGACGUCCUUAAAUGCAUCAUGCGUCUCGUAAUACUCAUCCGAUUAUCCGUUCAUUCAUUUCGCUUAAUUGCCCACACCGUUAUCAGGCGGGCUUUAAGCUGAACGUCUGAGGAACGCUGUAUCCUCGGUUGUUUUAUAAAAAGACAAGUUUAUUCAUAUACGGAUCACGUUAUGAUAAUGUGCGAUUAAAUUCAUAUAUAGGUAACUAUGCUUGCAGAGGCAAGUGAGACUAGUUGUGGAAUGUAUGAGAGAGGAUGUUGAAUCACAGGCUGAAGCUAUAAUUACGUACAAGGAUUAUGGAGAAAAUAGUAAAAAGAAUAAAUUAUAGUAAAUACA